GGAGGUAUGGUUGAGUGGUUUAAGGCAUUGGUUUGCUAAAUCAACAUACAAGAAGGUUGUAUUAUGGGUUCAAAUCCCAUUUCCUCUG